GUCCCAUAUCAUACACUCACUUCUUUUGUAUAUGCGUUUGGUGACACUGAUAGUGGUAAGAAUUCAAUAAUAAUUAUAAUGGCAAUCAUCCUUAUCUCACACAUCUUCAAAUAGACUGUCCUUAUGCAAAUUAAAACAUAAGCUCUGCCCGAUCAGUUGAAAUAAUAUUGGUAAUAUUCAAAACCUAUCUUCUAGCACAUACAUACAUGUAUCUCAGACAAAUGAUUGCCACUACAGAAUCUCAUCAAUUUUGAAAAUUUUUGAUGUAUGCCACCAAUAUGCCACUGAAAGGAUACUAUUGUUUCGGACAUUUACAACUAAUCAAAAAUGUUUUGUAGAACUUUGUUUCAAUAAUAAUAAAACAGAGAUUUCAAGAGAUUCUGAGAUAGUUCACAUAAAUAGAUUCAAUAGAAGUGUAUUCACAGCACUUUCAAAAAAUAAAAUACAUACAUUAUAAAUAACAUAACAUAACGAAAAAAUAAUAACCUUAAAAAUAAAAACAGAAAUGAUAAAAUUUGAUAUGUACAGUAUCCAUGCUGACCAACAUGGAAGCACAACAUUUCAUUAAAGACAGCUUUUACAUAUUAUCAUAUAUGUAUUAUUGUAUUACCAAAUGUUCGAGGUAUUUUGAAAGAUUAAAUAAACAACACAAGUGUUAAGCAACCCUUUCUUUGGAACUAGCACUAAUGAUAAAAUUAUUUCAUACCACCUAGCAUACCAAGGAUACAACAUUAAAUAAACCCUGCAUUGUAAAUAAGGUUUAUAAACACAAUUUAAUUUUUGAGCUAUACAGUUAAACUGUCUGUCAGUUAAUGCCCAUAAUUGUUUUAAUCCUAAACAAAUCAUAUUUAUAUCCCAAAUAUACAGAAAAGAAAGUCAAACAUACUUAAAAGUAAUUAUUCUUUUGAAAUUCAAAUUAAUUGAGGAGUAUUGCUAACUAUAUCUGCUGCAUUUAAAUUAAACAAAAC
rnacentral:lncRNA from 1 species